rnacentral:rRNA from 1 species
AUUGAACGCUGGCGGCAUGCCUUACACAUGCAAGUCGAACGGCAGCACGGGAGCAAUCCUGGUGGCGAGUGGCGAACGGGUGAGUAAAGUAUCGGAACGUGCCCAGUCGUGGGGGAUAACGUAGCGAAAGUUACGCUAAUACCGCAUACGAUCUAUGGAUGAAAGCGGGGGAUCGCAAGACCUCGCGCGAUUGGAGCGGCCGAUAUCAGAUUAGGUAGUUGUGGGGUAAAGGCUCACCAAGCCAACGAUCUGUAGCUGGUCUGAGAGGACGACCAGCCACACUGGGACUGAGACACGGCCCAGACUCCUACGGGAGGCAGCAGUGGGGAAUUUUGGACAAUGGGCGAAAGCCUGAUCCAGCAAUGCCGCGUGCAGGAAGAAGGCCUUCGGGUUGUAAACUGCUUUCGUACGGAGCGAAAAGGCUCUCUCUAAUACAGGGGGCUCAUGACGGUACCGUAAGAAUAAGCACCAGCUAACUACGUGCCAGCAGCCGCGGUAA